AACGCACGAGACCUGCGGACCUGCGGAAGGAUCAUUAUAGAGUGGUAAACCUCCCGUAAAAAGGGGGGGACCUCCCGUCCUUUGCAGGCUCUUUUUUAAGGGGCUUUUUUGACUUUCUGCUUCGGUGGGGUUAUCCUACCGGAACAACUUCAAAACUCUGAAUCAAAAAAAUCGUUCUGUCCGAGGGCUUUUUUAUAAAAUAAAAAAAAACUUUUAACAAUGGAUCUCUAGAUCGGAAGA
rnacentral:misc_RNA from 1 species